AUUUGGGGUUGGGGAUAUGAGAGAGAAAGAGAGACGUAUUAUAGAGUGAGAUGUAGAGAGAGAGAGAGUAUAUGAUACAGAUAAUGAGAUAUUGUAGUCGUCGGCGAGGGAGGAGAGAGGGAAGGGAGUAUAGACUAGAGAGAGAAAAGGAACAAACGGAGGAGGGGUGCUUUAAAUGACGGCACAUGGGCGGCACUCUGCCGUCUUCUUUUACUUAUAAAUUGGUGAAGGUGCUUUCGCUUUCUUCUCAAUCCUCCGCGAGUCCUCGCUCUCCUUACUGCUUCCUAUUCUCCAUACCCUUCUCCCCUCGUCUGCCAUCUUCACGUGGUUCUGCUUCCUCUUCCCCUCUCUUCUCUGCAGAUCUUAUCUGUUUCCAUUCUUCUGGUUUCUUUUGGGCGGGUCCUUUCUUGAGAAUAAUCAGUCGGUUUCUGUAGUAGUCUACUGCUAUUCCUUGGCUCUGCAUCUGUCCGUCUGUGUGUGUGUGUGAGAGAGAGAGAGAGAGAGAGAGAUUACUACACAAAGGACAGGCAAAGUUAGAGACAUGGAAGGGAAGAAACAAGUGGGUUCAUCCUCCUCGUUGCCUUCUGAUCUUUUCGGAAAGGAAUCCUCAUCAUCCAAGGGAAUUUUUGAGUCUGUUUUUCCGCCUCCAUCAAAGCCUGUAGAGAGGGACUCUUCGCAUUCCGAGCUGAUGGGAACGUUGAGAAAACAAGAUUCUGGGUCUCAUUGCUGGAACAACAAACAGGGAGCUCCAGAUCACAGGGCUCAAAGCAGAGAAGGUUAUAACAGUAGCACACCCAACAAGGACAGUAGUUCCAUUUAUCAGAAUGAGUCAGUGGGGCUUUGCUCAUUCAGCUCAUCCCUUUACUAUGGUGGACAAGACAUCUAUUCGAAUUCCUCCAGUACCCGGGCAUCAUCUGGUUCUACCCCUGUUGUGACCCAUUAAAUCAAAGAUAAAAUAUCUAACAUUCUGUAAUACAAAAUUGUGUGAUCUCAUUAGUACAAGGAAGAUGGGCGAGAUGAUUCAAAUGAAGAUUUAAACAGUGCUUCAAGAGGCAAUUGGUGGCAAGGUUCACUCUAUUACUAAAACCUUGUCUCUAAGUAUGUUAAUAAAUUCAACUAUCUAUUAAGGAGUUAGAUAACGUCCCGGAAGUGACUUUUAUCUGCCAUGUGUAACACGGAAGAUAGAUGCUUCUCUAUAGUUUAUAGUUACGUGUUAGUUUGGAUGGGAACAGCUGUGGCUCUUAUGUAGCUUCUUCUGGUUUUACCCAAACAAAUAGACAACGUUUAAUGUGAUCUGAUCUUUGUUUCUUAGAAGGUUUUAACUGUAAUAAGAUGCUGAAGGGACGAGUUGUAAAUUUUCAUUACUGCUUUAUGGGUUGUGUAUCUUGGACUUUUUAUAUAUGUGGAAUAUGUACUGAUAAAUAAUGUAAGUGAAUAAUAUUUACUAAGUUAAGUUUCUA